UGGCUCAGGUUGUUUACUUGUUUGGGCUUU
rnacentral:piRNA from 1 species